GAUGAAGAACGUAGCGAAUCGCGAUAAGUAAUGUGAAUUGCAGAUUUUCCGUGAAUCAUCGAAUCUUUGAACGCACCUUGCGCUCCUUGGUAUUCCGAGGAGCAUGCCUGUUUGAGUGUCAUCGAAACCUCGGAUCGACGCUUCGACCCCGUCGAAGCUCGGUUCGGACUGUGGGAGUCUGCCGGGGAAGCGUGACUUCGUCGGCUCUCCUCAAAAGCAUUAGCUGUGGGUGGCGAGCCUGGCAUGGCACGGCCUGUUCGACGUCGUAGUGAUCGUCGGGGGCUGGAAGUGUAUGGCUCGACGUGACCCAUGCUUCUCGAGUCUUGCGAGCCCGUCCCUCUGUGGGACGGCCGCGCCCCAUCGAAGCUUGACCUCAAAUCAGGUAGGACUACCCGCCGAACUUAAGCAUAUCAAUAAGCGGAGGA
rnacentral:misc_RNA from 1 species